GGUCACUGCACCGCCGCUCACCCACCAACUCAACCACCAUAGGCACGAACCAUCAAAACAACGUUUGUUGGUGUAUGCUAGGACCAUCAAAGGGUCACAGUGGAACAUGGGUAGAUGUCAUUGCAGAAGAGUGAUCUGAUGCUGACCUAUGCAAGGGGCACAUCAGGUUCUAAUAAGGGCUCCAAGGGUUCACAGUUAAAAAAAUAUGUUCACUAAUACAAAAGACAAGCUUCUCAGACACCAGUUCUAAAAGGAGUUGUCCUGCCCAUUUCACCAGAGUUAAACAGUGCAGCUACUGGCAUGCUGAGCUUGGAGUAGCAAUGAUAGAGAUGCUGCUCUACCAAUUACAGGAUUACAGCCCCUCAUGCUGAGUGGGACUCCCUGUGGCAUAUGAUCCGUCUGCAGCGGCAACCGCGUUCAAUAACAGUGAAAAGAGAGAGAGAGAGAGAGAGAGAGAGAGACUCCAGCAUGUCCCUGAACACCGCUACACUCGCUUGUACAAAUGAGCUUGAUGCUGUCGUCCGUGAUGCAUGACCUCACUACACUGAUAGACGGAUGAGCGAGUAGGAGAGGAACGAGAGCGAGGGAAUUAAAUGGGGAGUGACACUAAUGCCCUAAUGGUCAGAUCUAAUGGCCCUCGUUACUGAAAGGAUGCGCUGGUGUAAAGAGAUAGAGAGAGAGAGAGAGAGAGAGAGAGAGAGAGAGAGAGAGACUAACAGGUGCUGAGAGCAAAACCUGCACAGAAGAGAAGAGCAUUCAUCUUCAGUCUGACAGAGAAAACCCAACAACAAGAGAACAACAGCAACUGGGACUCACACACUGGAAACACACACACUCCAGUUCAGUAGAAACAAAAAGAAUUGUUUGGGUGAAACAAACAGAUACUGGACUUUUUGUGUUGUUUUACAGUCAUUUUGAUUUAAUUUAAAUGAUUUGAUAAACCAAGCACUGGAAUCUCAAAUUCCAACACUUUUAAUUAUAGCUGAUUUCAUUAGAUAUUUUGGUAACAUGCAGAAUUAUAAUAUCUGAGCACAGACUCAUACAUACCUAAAAGUAUAGAUUCUGUACAGAGUAAGGGAUCACAGAAUGAAAUCAGUGUAAAAAUGGCAGAGUUAAAUGUUAUAAUACCACUGAACUCACACUGAAAGAUAUUAGAAUUACGUGUUUACAGCAUUGUUACAACAAUGUUAUGGGUUCAAAUUAUAUUUAUUAUUUAUUUAUUAGAGAAAUGUACUAGAGUUACCAAAAUAAAUAAAAGUGACAUAUAAAAGUGAUAUAUUGACGAAUUUGAUACAUGUAAAAUUGUACACUACAGUUAAAAGGUGGAGGUUUCUUCCAUAAUAUAAUGUAGGUCAAGUAGAAAUCUGAAAUAAUACUGGAAUAAAGUAAUACUUAAUGCACAUCAAAAAUUCUCCUAAUAAUACUUA